AAUGAGUCUGCUCUACAGCCUUAGCUAGCAGCCAGUUGGCUUUUAGCUCACGCGGUAGAGGCUCAUGCACUGAGCUCCAGAGGUCCCAGUUUCAAUCCCGCCCGCCGAUGACCUGGGUCUGUGGGUAUUUCACAAUAAAAAUAAGGA